rnacentral:rRNA from 1 species
GACGUAGGGCGCGAGCGUUGUCCGGAUUUAUUGGGCGUAAAGAGCUCGUAGGCGGCUCAGUAAGUCGGGUGUGAAACCCUCAGGCUCAACCUGGGGACGCCACCCGAUACUGCUGUGGCUAGAGUCCAGUAGGGGAGUGUGGAAUUCCCGGUGUAGCGGUGAAAUGCGCAGAUAUCGGGAGGAACACCAGCGGCGAAGGCGGCACUCUGGGCUGGUACUGACGCUGAGGAGCGAAAGCGUGGGUAGCAAACAGG